GGAAUAGCUCAGUUGGUAGAGCAUGAGACUCUUAUUCUAAGGCCCUGGGUUCGAGCCCCACAUUGGGCCA